UAUGAACAUGGUGAAGCAUGUGU
rnacentral:piRNA from 1 species